UCUUUUCCCUUUCUUCAUGAGUUUAUUUAUUUUUUAUUCCUUCGAACUUCUUUUUUAUUUUUUCCUCAUCAGAUGUUUUAUUCUCUCUCAACCACGUCUCUCCAUCUUUUCCCUUUCCGAACGAUUCUUCCUCUCGCAGCCACCACCGCGCCAACCCCGGCCAGCACCACCGCGUCAACCUCGGUCGGCACCACCGCGCCAACCUCACCACCACCAGUACCCUUAUCUCUAUUUGUCACUGAAUUUAAAUCAUAUCAAGGACCAGCCAUCGCCGCUACCACCGCGAUCUCAAUCAGUCUCUCUACAAGUCGGGAGAUUGAGUAACUUCAGACUUGGAUUGUGUUUAAAGAAUGAGGUAUUAUGUUAUUAAUUGUGUGAUUGAGACUAUUUGGGACAUUGGAUUUCUUGCGUAGGGUUUGUGUAGUAGGGCAUUUAAUCUACCUUUUUUUUAAUUCCAAGUGAUUGUACUUGUAGCUACACGAGUAUUUAAAAGCAACAUGUUAUUAUUUAUUUCAAAGAAUACUGUCUUCCAUGUUUCUUACAUGAUCAUGUGAGGCUACCACUUGACAUAUUUACUUUAUUUUAUCUUUUUAUUAUGACAGACUAUGAUGAAAUUGAUGGUACAUUGUAAUGUGAAGGGUUUUGAGGUUCAGGAUUCUAUUCUUUUACCUUUCCUUCUUCGCUUGGGUAAUUAUUUAUUUCAUUCUCAAGUAUACUAUGUCUACCACUACGUUUUCUUUCAUUUUAGUGUUAUGAAUUUUGUUAAUGCAGAUAAAUAAACAGAAAACCCUUGAAGGUGAGCAAUUAUCUGAUUUUUCUAGGAGAGUCAUACCACUGCUUGAGGACUAAGCGAACGAAAAAUAUGAUGAUGUAUUCGCAUACAGGCACUAAACAACGUCGACGAGGGAUUGGAAACAUUUUUCACCAGAAAAAUACUAUUCAAUCAGACAGAUGAGUGAAAUAUGAUCAACAAUGGAGGGAAAUAUGCGAAAAAAAUAUAUAUCAGUCUUGCUAACUACAUACAUCAACUGCAACCACCAUUACAAAAAUAUAUGUUUAAGGUACCAUCUUUGAGUUAUUCGUUUCUUAACUCUCCAUAACUCUCCAACAGUUUUGAGUUUUUGCUAUAUUUAUACUUUAAUGUCUAUUUGAAAUUCUUUAUGUUGCCAUACUUCUUUUCAUAUAUUGAAAAUGAUCAAGCACCAAUUUCUGAAGGAAAACCAACUUUGUCAAGGAAAAUGAAGAGUAGAUGACUUUUGAGUUGUAUAGAAUGUAAGUUAAAUCAUGUUGUGAAUAAUUGAAGCCGUUUAUUUUCUAAUUUUAUUUCCUUUUUUGGCUCCUGAAUAAUAACAGGUUUGCUAUUUUCAGUAUAUUGUGGAGGAACUCGUAUUGGAGCAUUUGACAUCCAUUGAUCAAUUAAGAGACGAGGAAAGUAUGAGCAUUCUCGGGCGCAAGAGACUUUAGAUUAGUUUGACAAUAAAUGAAUUGGUUUUGUUUGUUGGUUAAACGGCAUGCAAUUACAGUAUUGGUUAAUAAUAUUUGUAUAUCGCCAGGAUUUUGGUUUAUUGGAAAUUGGAAAGCAUUGAGAAUAAUUGAAAAUCUAAUUUCUGUAUUUUGUUCAAUAAUUUUUUUUUGUCUCAUAGUUAGUAAACCACAAGGUGCUCUUGAAUGUUGUUAAAACCGAAGACAAGAUGCAACAGUGUGUUGUUGUAAGACUAUCUACAAGACGCGUAUAAAUGUUGUGAAAACUAUAACACAACAUGCACUGCAUCUUGUUAUAUC